CGGGGUUAGCGGAGGGCAGGAGCUCGGGGUGUAGUGUCGCUGGGAGGAGAGGAGAGGGCACUAAGGGCAGCGCAGCGGCGGGAAAGGAGGUAGGGGCGGGGACAGCGCUCGGGGAGAAGAAGGGGUAGGGUGGCUGUAGUAGGAGAUGGCGAGAGGAGCAACACUCAGCGAGGUCCAGCGUCUCCUACUAUACGUAGGCCUAGACGCGUCAACUCCACUCCUUGCCUCCACCCCCCUUCCUCGUCGCUACGACAACUGGUCAGUCCCCUGCCUCCACCUCCUUCCUCAUCGUUCCGACCACUACCCGGUCCCCGGUGGUCUCCUACGUCUUCCCCCUGCUGCAGCGCGAAGAGCGGUGGAGGUGUAGGAGGAAUAGUCGCCGCCACGUUGAGGUCGUCCCUUCCCCCUGCUGCGACGCGAAGACUACGACCAAGUGUACGUCCAAAGUCUCUCAUCGUGGUACGUAACGUACUACUGACACCCACUAGAAACGUUCUGUUACGAAAACUCAUAGCCUUAAUACCAGUAAGAGUUUUCCCAAUUAGUCAGUAGACAAGCAGACAUAACGAUGAGCCCCUCCAUUCAAGAAGGAACGAGUAGAGUAUAAGCUGUUUAAGUACACUUGACUCUACUGAGAGGUACUCGACCGGUUCCACCAAGUGCGAUUCCUUCGUCGGCUGUCACGUUCUGAGACGAUAAUCUUGCCGACUUCCUCUCAUACGUCUAGAAGUCAUAGAAGCUGUCCAAAAACAAGACAAUGUUCGCGAUUACCGGAUAAAAGUAAAACAACUUGAUACUAACAAAGACAUACGAAGAAGAGAUUUUCGUUUAACAUAAGACAAUAUCAAUGUCAGUCACACCCGGACUUUUAAGUGUAGUGGUUUUCUUAACAUCUUAAACUAUUCUCUUAACAAAGAAUUAUUCAUUUAUUCUAUGUUUAUGUCACAGAUUGUAACUACCUUACUUGGACGACGUUCUCCGUUAUUUUCACUGCUACGAACUAAAAUAAUUAACUGUCCUACUUUAUAAUUCAUCAUUCUAUUUACACUCGUAAGUGGAUUAAACAAAAAAUGGAUAACUUUACCCAUCAACCAGUGCAUGACAGUUGAACCAUGUAAGUCACACGCACAAGUCCAAAAUCCUACUUUAAAUUAGGUUCUAGUAAUGAAGUACAAAAGGAUGCAAAUACAACCGUAGAAACUGAAACUAUACAAGUAACGUGAGAUAACCAAGACUACGGUGUUUCACUGACACGAAACAAUCAUGUAGAUACCUAUGAAUACGAAAUAAGUUCUGUGUUAGUCAAAGAAAAAGGAAACAUUUAUCAGACAUCUAUAUCGCAACCGGACUCGGGGAUUCACAGCAUAUGAUAAAGGACGUACGAGUAAAAGAGAAAUAUAAGUUAAGUACACGGAAUCGUUGUUGGAUUCAAUUUCUGUUGUCCUUAUUUAUAAUCAACAAAGUAGAUACCGGAGCAGUAAAUCGAAAAUGAAUUUGACUUAUUUUUUUAACUUAUUAAAGUUAUAUAUGAUAAAUUACAAAACGGUUCUGAGAGUAUCACACAAUUUUUAAAUUUAUAUAUUGAUACGUUAUUGUUUCAAUAUUUAACUAGGUCACAAAGCAUACUUCCUAAGCUAAUCACAUAAACAUUACGUCAAAACACUAAGUCAUAGCAGCACCAUCAAGUUUCUGGGUUCCACUCUAGCAGUAUAAACUAAAGAAUCAAGGAUCCAGUGUUUAGUAGACGAUAGCGGUUGUAAGCUCAACAGGUAGGUAGGUAGAUAGAUACCACGCGAGCGGUUGGUGUAGGAGACAAGUCUAAAACUCACACCGUUGUCCAGUAGUCAACAUCACAGUUUAUGUUCUAAUUCGAUAAACUUAGAACGGUAUACCAUCUGGAUGCUCGUCUUGUUUUUUUUAUAUAUUGAAUACGACCAAUCUUGUUUACGAGUCGAGCGGAACAAAAAAAGAAAAAACGGAGAAAAACCAGGACAAGUCUCCUCUACAAUUUACAACCAACUACAGACGUAUAGCGGAACAUAAAUUACUUUUAUUCCAGGAAGCUACCUAUAGGUACCGAAAGUCAAAAUGAACGUCGGUUACUUAUAUCAAUACCGUGAACAACGGAACAACGCGACAAGUUACUAAUAGUCCUAAAAUUGUGGAUGUGAUAUAUAGGAUCCAUUUGGUGUACCACAACAAAAGUUUAGUAUACAAACAGGAUCCAUUUGGUGUCCUUAAAUACUUGAAAGAACCGGCGAAAUAAUCUUGAUGCCCAAACAUUAUACGAGGCCAAAAUAGUGAAAUACUCAUACAUAUACCAUCCCUCGUCGUGGGCACAUUCGCUCUUUUGAACAACCAACGGACGUAUAGUACACUAUCAAAAACCGAUGAUAAGACGAGUACAAAGGUACUUGGGUAAAUACUAAGCUUCGUCAGUCCGGAGAGAGAAGGAAGAUUAAAAAGGUACUUGUGGUACCGGCGGAAGCGGCUCUCGCGGGCGUAGAAGUAGGUAACGGAGAGACGGUCAAGACAAUGCAUAUCGAUACCGACGGGUUGUUCGCCACUCGGAUUCUUGGGGCAGCCUACAAGUAACGUAUAUCGAGCCCUCCGUCUGUUCUCCUUGGUUCGCCUAGAGGAAGGUACUGCCGUUGGGUUCGUCUUGGCUUUAGAAGGUGCACCGCCGUCGGUAAUCACUCUAGACCUCCCCUCGUCGUCGGCGCCGGAGCUAGGCCUCUUCCCCUCGUCGUCGCGGGGAGAAGAAGUGUGCACCGCCGGAACGCGUCGACGGAGGUAGGGUGCGCACGUCGACGGUGUACUUCCGUUCGCUCGUGUGUACUUUAUCUAUACCGUUCACCUAAAGGAGAGUGGAGUUGUGAAUGACUUAAGUCAUGGUCUUCUUCGGACGAUACGGUGACUAAAACGUGAUGACCACAUUUAUAACUCUUGAUAUACUUGACUACGUGGAACACCAGACCUUUAUACGAGGACUAACACACCUAUAAACGUCGAAGUCUUAAUAAAAUAAGAAUCGGUAUACAGUAGUUCCACGUCGACGAGUAUACUAAAGGUGAGCGAUACCUUAAUCCUCUUCAGUCAAUGAACUAGACUGACAAAUUUCAAGGUGCCAAAAAGUUAUAUACAAUUGAUACAAGUCUCUAGAUUUUCUGAUAGUCCGAUGUGGUUAAGACUUACGUCAAACUUUCGAACAAAGUGCUUCACUCAUACGUUCUAUUGAAGUCCGUUUCACAUGUCUCCGACGUCGACUUCGGCCUGAAACUACGAACGUUCAACCACCUAGUGGUCAAUAAUAGUCCAAGUUAGGGAAACGGUACAUUAUGACACCGCUGUAACAGACAAUACAUAUUAACACGUGUGUCCAAAGACAACCUUGUUAGUGACUUUUGCUACUAUCUGAAACAGAGUGUACACAGCGAGUGACUACUCUUGAUCUGACUUCACUUAACACGAUCUCUUCCUCACCGGCCCUUUCAUGUGGUCACUACGGGAUGUUCCGCUCGUCUUCUUUCGAUUUCUCUACGAGGCACAUUAGGGAUUCUUCGUCUUUCCCUCGUUUUCUUGUCCAGGCGAAGUUCCCAUUUUAGGAGACCCAAAAAAAAAGCUUUUCCUCCAAUAGGGGACCGGAGACGUAGUCUUACUACGUACGCGGGUAGAAUAAUUAUUCGACUAUUUUAGUAGACAUUAGGGAUUAACACGAAAACACUUUUAUACACCUAGUCAAACUACGACCUGUGCUAAUUAAAUGAUAACAACCAUGUACAUCUUCAUUAAGACCUAAUCGGUGUAACACCAAAGGAUGAUCCUUGACUUUAAUACGGGUCAAGUAACCGUACCAUAAUACAACUACAUGAGAGUAAUAGACGUAAUUACAAUUAUGAAGUCUUGACAAGUAUUAAAUGGCACCAACCAAC
rnacentral:rRNA from 1 species